rnacentral:rRNA from 1 species
AGUGAACGCUGGCGGUAGGCCUAACACAUGCCAGUCGAACGGCAGCACAGUAAGAGCUUGCUCUUACGGGUGGCGAGUGACGGACGGGUGAGGAAUACAUCGGAAUCUACUUUUUCGUGGGGGAUAACGUAGGGAAACUUACGCUAAUACCGCAUACGACCUACGGGUGAAAGCAGGGGAUCUUCGGACCUUGCGCGAUUGAAUGAGCCGAUGUCGGAUUAGCUAGUUGGCGGGGUAAAGGCCCACCAAGGCGACGAUCCGUAGCUGGUCUGAGAGGAUGAUCAGCCACACUGGAACUGAGACACGGUCCAGACUCCUACGGGAGGCAGCAGUGGGGAAUAUUGGACAAUGGGCGCAAGCCUGAUCCAGCCAUACCGCGUGGGUGAAGAAGGCCUUCGGGUUGUAAAGCCCUUUUGUUGGGAAAGAAAAGCAGCAGGUUAAUACCCCGCUGUUCUGACGGUACCCAAAGAAUAAGCACCGGCUAACUUCGUG